rnacentral:rRNA from 1 species
GACAAACGCUGGCGGCGUGCCUAACACAUGCAAGUCGAGCGUGAAGGGAGCUUCGGCUCCUGGAAAGCGGCGAACGGGUGAGUAACACGUGGGCAACCUGCCUCAAGGACUGGGAUAACUCCGGGAAACCGGGGCUAAUACCGGGCGAUGUCGUCUGGCGCAAGCCGGCCGACCAAAUGGUAGCUUCGGCCUCCGCCUUGAGAUGGGCCCGCGUCCUAUCAGCUUGUUGGUGAGGUAACGGCUCACCAAGGCUACGACGGGUAGCUGGUCUGAGAGGAUGAUCAGCCACACUGGGACUGAGAUACGGCCCAGACUCCUACGGGAGGCAG